rnacentral:rRNA from 1 species
CCCGCACAAGCGGUGGAGCAUGUGGUUUAAUUCGACGCAACGCGAAGAACCUUACCAGGGCUUGACAUCCCCUGACCGCGUAUGAAAGACGUUUUCACCCUCGGGUGACAGGGAGACAGGUGGUGCAUGGUUGUCGUCAGCUCGUGUCGUGAGAUGUUGGGUUAAGUCCCGCAACGAGCGCAACCCCUACGUUUAGUUGCUAACGCGUGAAGGCGAGCACUCUAGACGAACUGCCGUUGACAAAACGGAGGAAGUGGGGAUGACGUCAAAUCAUCAUGCCCCUUAUGUUCUGGGCUACACACGUGCUACAAUGGCCGGUACAGACGGACGCAAAGCCGCGAGGUGGAGCAAAUCCUAAAAAGCCGGUCUCAGUUCGGAUUGCAGGCUGCAAUUCGCCUGCAUGAAGUCGGAAUCGCUAGUAAUCGCAGGUCAGUAUACUGCGGUGAAUACGUUCCCGGGCCUU